rnacentral:rRNA from 1 species
UGGAGAGUUUGAUCCUGGCUCAGAUUGAACGCUGGCGGCAGGCCUAACACAUGCAAGUCGAGCGGGGUUUUCGGACCUAGCGGCGGACGGGUGAGUAAUGCGUAGGAAGCUACCCGAUAGAGGGGGAUACCAGUUGGAAACGACUGUUAAUACCGCAUAAUGUCUACGGACCAAAGUGUGGGACCUUCGGGCCACAUGCUAUCGGAUGCGCCUACGUGGGAUUAGCUAGUUGGUGAGGUAAUGGCUCACCAAGGCGACGAUCUCUAGCUGGUUUGAGAGGAUGAUCAGCCACACUGGAACUGAGACACGGUCCAGACUCCUACGGGAGGCAGCAGUGGGGAAUAUUGGACAAUGGGCGCAAGCCUGAUCCAGCCAUGCCGCGUGUGUGAAGAAGGCCUUCGGGUUGUAAAGCACUUUCAGUAGGGAGGAAGAGUUAAGUGUUAAUAGYACUUAACUUUGACGUUACCUACAGAAGAAGCACCGGCUAACUCUGUGCCAGCAGCCGCGGUA